rnacentral:rRNA from 1 species
CUACGGGGGGCUGCAGUGAGGAAUAUUGCGCAAUGGGGGAAACCCUGAUGCAGCGACGCCGCGUGGAUGAUGAAGGCCUUCGGGUUGUAAAAUCCUGUCAGAUGGGAAGAAUUGUUCCAUGUCUAAUAUAUGUGGGACUUGACGGUACCGUCAAAGGAAGCACCGGCUAACUCCGUGCCAGCAGCCGCGGUAAUACGGAGGGUGCAAGCGUUGUUCGGAAUUACUGGGCGUAAAGCGCGCGUAGGCGGUUUGUUAAGUCAGAUGUGAAAGCCCAUGGCUCAACCAUGGACGUGCAUUUGAUACUGGCAGACUUGAGUACUGGAGGGGGUGGUGGAAUUCCCGGUGUAGAGGUGAUAUUCGUAGAUAUCGGGGGGAAUACCGGUGGCGAAGGCGACCACCUGGCCAGAUACUGACGCUGAGGUGCGAAAGCGUGGGGAGCAAACAGGAUUAGAUACCCCGGUAGUC